rnacentral:lncRNA from 1 species
CUCCGUCUGGACCAUGACUCAACACAACAUGGCCGCUGGUUAAAGUGUAACGAGGAUAGCAGUCUGUUGUUAUUGCCCCCCGGUACUGUCUGAAUUCUUCAAAUUCAUACAUCAAUGUUCCUUAAAAGCAAAACUAUCCAAACAGGUUUUUUCCAUCAGCUUUUUUUGAUUACCUGUGUCACCGCUGCUUCCUGGUCCGUCCGUAGUCGUGGUGACCAGCUGGUCUGGAAUUACCGUGACCGUGAUCAGAGUAUCGAUCAGGACUGGAGUCCAGAUGCGCCACGAGACAAACCGUCCUCUAAAAGGGAACUCUGUAGUCCUGCUAGCUAGCUCACCGUCCAGGCAGGCUGGCUAGCCAGUUCUAAUCCUGCUAGCUAGCUCACCGUCCAGGCAGGCUGGCUAGCUAGCUCUAAUCAUGUAGUCCUGCUAGCUAGCUCACCGUCCAGGCAGGCUGGCUAGCCAGUUCUAAUCCUGCUAGCUAGCUCACCGUCCAGGCAGGCUGGCUAGCCAGUUCUAAUCCUGCUAGCUAGCUCACCGUCCAGGCAGGCUGGCUAGCCAGUUCUAAUCAUGUUGUCCUGCUAGCUAGCUCACCGUCCAGGCAGGCUGGCUAGCCAGUUCUAAUCCUGCUAGCUAGCUCACCGUCCAGGCAGGCUGGCUAGCCAGUUCUAAUCCUGCUAGCUAGCUCACCGUCCAGGCAGGCUAGCUAGCCAGUUCUAAUCAUGUUGUCCUGCCGUCCAGGUAGGUUGUUUUGUUGUCCUAGGCUACCUGGCUAAAAUGCUUGCUUGCUGGCCUGACUUCCAUUCAUGGGCAACGACGAGCCAGCUAGUUCACAUUAGCCUUCUACAUCUAGCUACAUAUUGAACUUCCAUCCUCUCAGGUCAGGGGCACAACAAUGUAUGAAUUCAUGGUUUGGAUCAGAAUCGCUGUUAUAAUCAUUGGCCAGUACGGAGAAUUAAGUAAAACCACAAGUCCAAAUCCUUAUCUCCAUCCCAGGCUAAUUUAGGAAAGGGACAAUUUUAGCUAGCUGGCUAGCUAGCCUCCGGAGGACAACGACACAACAAGAUGUUGGCCCUGUGGUGUUUUAGUGUGUGUGUGUGUGUGUGUGUGUGUGUGUGUGUGUGUGUGUGUGUGUGUGUGUGUGUGUGUGUGUGUGUGUG